rnacentral:rRNA from 1 species
UAGGGAAUUUUCCACAAUGGACGAAAGUCUGAUGGAGCAACGCCGCGUGCAGGAUGAAUGCCUUCGGGUUGUAAACUGCUUUUAUAUGUGACGAUUUUGACGGUAGCAUAUGAAUAAGGAUCGGCUAACUCCGUGCCAGCAGCCGCGGUCAUACGGAGGAUCCAAGCGUUAUCCGGAAUUACUGGGCGUAAAGAGUUGCGUAGGUGGCACUGUAAGUUGGUAGUGAAAGCGUUCGGCUCAACCGAAUAUCCAUUACCAAAACUGCAGAGCUAGAGGACAAGAGAGGCAUCUGGAAUUCCUAGUGUAGGAGUGAAAUCCGUAGAUAUUAGGAGGAACACCGAUGGCGUAGGCAGGGUGCUGGCUUGUUCCUGACACUGAGGCACGAAAGCGUGGGGAGCGAACGGG